CCUACGGGUGGCAGCAGUGGGGAAUAUUGCGCAAUGGGCGAAAGCCUGACGCAGCGACGCCGCGUGAGGGAUGAAGGUCUUCGGGUUGUAAACUUCUUUUCUCAGGGACGAAGCAAGUGACGGUACCUGAGGAAUAAGCCACGGCUAACUACGUGCCAGCAGCCGCGGUAAUACGUAGGUGGCAAGCGUUAUCCGGAUUUACUGGGUGUAAAGGGCGUGUAGGCGGGACUGCAAGUCAGAUGUGAAAACCAUGGGCUCAACCUAUGGCCUGCAUUUGAAACUGUAGUUCUUGAGUACUGGAGAGGCAGACGGAAUUCCUAGUGUAGCGGUGAAAUGCGUAGAUAUUAGGAGGAACACCAGUGGCGAAGGCGGUCUGCUGGACAGCAACUGACGCUGAGGCGCGAAAGCGUGGGGAGCAAACAGGAUUAGAUACCCCAGUAGUC
rnacentral:rRNA from 1 species